rnacentral:rRNA from 1 species
UACGAAGGGGGCUAGCGUUGCUCGGAUUGACUGGGCGUAAAGGGUGCGUAGGCGGGUCUUUAAGUCAGGGGUGAAAUCCUGGAGCUCAACUCCAGAACUGCCUUUGAUACUGAGGAUCUUGGGUUCGGGAGAGGUGAGUGGAACUGCGAGUGUAGAGGUGAAAUUCGUAGAUAUUCGCAAGAACACCAGUGGCGAAGGCGGCUCACUGGCCCGAUACUGACGCUGAGGCACGAAAGCAUGGGGAGCAAACAGG